rnacentral:misc_RNA from 1 species
AAAAGUCGUAACAAGGUUUCCGUAGGUGAACCUGCGGAAGGAUCAUUACCAAUUUAAUCCAAAAAUACUUCAACCCUUGUGCACGGUGAUAUUGUUUGUCUUUGGGGUGGCUGUACUGUUUUAUCACAAUACAUUUGCUGCCCCACAUUUGUUCAACACAUUUUUAUUUUUGUGGCAUCAACUGUCUUAAAUAUAAAUGGACAACUUUUAACGGUGGAUCUCUUGGCUCGUG